AUUGAACGCAGGCGGCAGGCCUAACACAUGCAAGUCGAGCGGUAAACAGGGGUAGCUUGCUACCCGCUGACGAGCGGCGGACGGGUGAGUAAUGCAUAGGAAUCUGCCCGAUAGUGGGGGAUAACCUGGGGAAACCCAGGCUAAUACCGCAUACGUCCUACGGGAGAAAGGGGGCUCCGGCUCCCGCUAUCGGAUGAGCCUAUGUCGGAUUAGCUGGUUGGUGAGGUAACGGCUCACCAAGGCGACGAUCCGUAGCUGGUCUGAGAGGAUGAUCAGCCACAUCGGGACUGAGACACGGCCCGAACUCCUACGGGAGGCAGCAGUGGGGAAUAUUGGACAAUGGGGGGAACCCUGAUCCAGCCAUGCCGCGUGUGUGAAGAAGGCCCUCGGGUUGUAAAGCACUUUCAGUGAGGAAGAACGCCUGGUGGUUAAUACCCAUCAGGAAAGACAUCACUCACAGAAGAAGCACCGGCUAACUCCGUGCCAGCAGCCGCGGUAAUACGGAGGGUGCGAGCGUUAAUCGGAAUUACUGGGCGUAAAGCGCGCGUAGGUGGCUUGAUAAGCCGGUUGUGAAAGCCCCGGGCUCAACCUGGGAACGGCAUCCGGAACUGUCAAGCUAGAGUGCAGGAGAGGAAGGUAGAAUUCCCGGUGUAGCGGUGAAAUGCGUAGAGAUCGGGAGGAAUACCAGUGGCGAAGGCGGCCUUCUGGACUGACACUGACACUGAGGUGCGAAAGCGUGGGUGGCAAACAGG
rnacentral:rRNA from 1 species